UACAGAGGUCUCAAGCGUUGUUCGGAUUCAUUGGGCGUAAAGGGUGCGUAGGUGGCGAGGCAAGUCAGAUGUGAAAUCCCGGGGCUCAACCCCGGAACUGCAUUUGAAACUGCCUUGCUCGAGUACUGGAGAGGAGACUGGAAUUUACGGUGUAGCAGUGAAAUGCGUAGAUAUCGUAAGGAAGACCAGUGGCGAAGGCGAGUCUCUGGACAGUUACUGACGCUGAGACGCGAAAGCGUGGGGAGCAAACAGG
rnacentral:rRNA from 1 species